AUUGAGCGCUGGCGGCAGGCUUAACACAUGCAAGUCGAGCGGGCGAGGUUGCUUCGGUAACUGAGCUAGCGGCGGACGGGUGAGGAACGCUUGGGAAUCUGCCUAUCAGCGGGGGACAACACGGGGAAACUCGUGCUAAUACCGCAUACGCUCUACGGAGGAAAGCCGGGGACCGCAAGGCCUGGCACUGAUAGAUGAGCCCAAGCCGGAUUAGCUAGUUGGCGGGGUAACGGCCCACCAAGGCGACGAUCCGUAGCUGGUCUGAGAGGACGAUCAGCCACACUGGAACUGAGACACGGUCCAGACUCCUACGGGAGGCAGCAGUGGGGAAUAUUGGACAAUGGGGGAAACCCUGAUCCAGCGACGCCGCGUGGGUGAAGAAGGCCUGCGGGUUGUAAAGCCCUUUCGGUAGGGACGAAAGCUCUCGGCCUAACACGUCGGGAGGUUGACUUAACCUACAAAAGAAGCACCGGCUAACUCUGUGCCAGCAGCCGCCGUAA
rnacentral:rRNA from 1 species